GUGAACGCUGGCGGUAGGCCUAACACAUGCAAGUCGAACGGCAGCACAGUAAGAGCUUGCUCUUACGGGUGGCGAGUGGCGGACGGGUGAGGAAUACAUCGGAAUCUACUUUUUCGUGGGGGAUAACGUAGGGAAACUUACGCUAAUACCGCAUACGACCUACGGGUGAAAGCCGGGGAUCUUCGGACCUUGCGCGAUUGAAUGAGCCGAUGCCGGAUUAGCUAGUUGGCGGGGUAAAGGCCCACCAAGGCGACGAUCCGUAGCUGGUCUGAGAGGAUGAUCAGCCACACUGGAACUGAGACACGGUCCAGACUCCUACGGGAGGCAGCAGUGGGGAAUAUUGGACAAUGGGCGCAAGCCUGAUCCAGCCAUACCGCGUGGGUGAAGAAGGCCUUCGGGUUGUAAAGCCCUUUUGUUGGGAAAGAAAAGCAGCAGGUUAAUACCCCGCUGUUCUGACGGUACCCAAAGAAUAAGCACCGGCUAACUUCGUG
rnacentral:rRNA from 1 species